rnacentral:ncRNA from 1 species
GAUAACUGUCUUGUUGCAACCAAGUGCUCAUAGUGGUGUCACUUUUUGAUCCUUUGAUGUCAGCUCUUCCUAUCAUUGUUCAUCCACUUAUAGGAAAUGUAAGCUAGGAUUAAAAUGUCUUAGAACAGGUU